rnacentral:misc_RNA from 1 species
AAGUCGUAACAAGGUUUCCGUAGGUGAACCUGCGGAAGGAUCAUUAUCGAAUAUCGAGGGGGACUGUCGCUGGCUUCAGAGCGAUCUGGAGCAUUGUGCACGUCUCUUUUCUUACACACACUCGUGCACACUUUGUAGGCCCUCGAGAGAGGGACUACGUUUUUCCACAUCACAUCCUUACGGGCAUGUAACAUGUAUGGCGAGAAGGUAUCUAGGCUGUCGCUCGACUCUGGUCGGGCCAUGGUCGAACAAAUAUUACAACUUUCAGCAACGGAUCUCUUGGCUCUC